UACGUAGGGUGCGAGCGUUAAUCGGAAUUACUGGGCGUAAAGCGUGCGCAGGCGGUUGUGCAAGACAGAUGUGAAAUCCCCGGGCUCAACCUGGGAACUGCGUUUGAAACUACAGAGCUAGAGUGUGGCAGAGGGGGGUGGAAUUCCAUGUGUAGCAGUGAAAUGCGUAGAGAUAUGGAAGAACAUCGAUGGCGAAGGCAGCCCCCUGGGUCAACACUGACGCUCAGGCACGAAAGCGUGGGGAGCAAACAGCAUUAGAUACGCUGGUAGUCCACGCCCUAAACUAUGUCAACUAGUUGUCGGGCGUUAUUAGGUUUGGUAACGUAGCUAACGCGUGAAGUUGACCGCCUGGGGAGUACGGUCGCAAGAUUAAAACUCAAAGGAAUUGACGG
rnacentral:rRNA from 1 species